AGCACUACGGCGGCCGCGGAGCUCAAACCCGCCGCCACAGAAGGGCGUUGCGCGCAGGCGCACAGCAGCAGGGCGGGCCUGAGCGCACUCGCGGGUGUUCAGCGAGCUCCUGUGGCGUGUCGGGCGCUGCUCGACGCCCCGGAAAACCCGGGGUGCGACCGACACACUCCGGGCCUCAGGGAGCCUGACUUCUAGUGCGGGUAACACAGAGAGGGCAUGGUCUGCUCCUCAUGAACAGCUAGCGAUACAGAUGGCACCAUUCCUCAUCAAUGGUGAUUUUGAUACUCACAUAGUGGUCCCGGUCUCCUGGCUGGCUGCAGCUCUAGCACAGGCAUGCCUGAAUGCCUCCUUAGCAGGUGUCUAGGGCAAGGCCUUGAGCAGAUCAGCACAGUGACCAGCAGUGGGAGAAGCCGUGUCUGGCCUUUUCCACAGAGGAUCUUCAUUUUGGGCCAGGCCUGUCAGCAGCCAGCCUCUGCACCCCCCAUGGGAGCCGUGGAGGAACGACCUGCACCCUCUUCACCAUUCAUUCUCAGCAGCUGGCAAGGGUGGACCCAGGCAGAGCCAGCCAUGUCGACCUGAGAAUCCAGCAGGGAAGAAGAGACAAGAGGCCCCAAGCCUGGCGGGACUUCCUGGAGGCCACCUCCCCAGUUUGAGGCAAUGAGGACAUUCUCCAUGCUUCCUUCAGCCUCUUCUGUUUCAACCUGUCAAGAAACAUUGUUGAUAACUUCUU